CACGAAAGUCACCCAUGGUUUUCACCGAGAUGUGGAUCUGUUCUAUGUGAGCAAGAGAAAAGUGCCCAAUGGACCUGAUCCCAUUCACAACAGUGUUCCUCUACCAUAUGCCAUUAAUGAACUCGUCUUUCAAAAUGCAUGGAAGCAGAUGAUGUGAUCAUGUUUUAGAGGGCUGAGACAUCUAGACGACCACCAGGAGUCUGAUUUCCUGUUGUGAUACGAUGACCUCGGAAUAUACGCGAAUUCGAACACGUAUU